AGCUCCAAUAGCGUAUGUUAAAGUUGUUGCAGUUAAAAAGCUCGUAGUUGGACUUGUGUGCGCCGGAUGCGGCGAUCUGCGGCCAACAGGCCGUUGCGAUCAGCCCGUCCCGGCGCCGUAAAAUCUGCAACUGGGUCGUCGCUGGCCUUAAUUGGUCGGCGGCGCCUGCUCGGUUGCUCGUUUACUGUGAGAAAAUUGGAGUGUUCAAGGCAGGCAUGAUUGCAACUGAACAUGUUAGCAUGGAAUAAUAAGAUAGGGCUCCGGCUCGUAUUUUGUUGGUUUCACUGGGCGAUGGGAGUAAUGAUUGAUAGGGACAGUUGGGGGUGCUAGUAUUCAGCGGCCAGAGGUGAAAUUCAUGGAUUCGCUGAAGACUGACUUAUGCGAAAGCAUUCACCAAGGAUGUCCUCU
rnacentral:rRNA from 1 species